rnacentral:rRNA from 1 species
UCCGGUGCUCCUGUGGUGAAUCAUAAUAACUGUUCGGAGCGCACGCCACAAGCGGCGCUAGUUCAUUCAAAUUUCUGCCCUAUCAGUUCGCCGGCAGGGUAGUGGCCUGCCGGGACAUUUACGGGUAACGGAGAAUUAGGGUUCGAUUCCGGAGAGGGAGCCUGAGAAACGGCUACCACAUCCAAGGAAGGCAGCAGGCGCGCAAAUUACCCAAUCCUGACACAGGGAGGUAGUGACGAGAAAUAACAAUACUGGGCGUUUGUCUGGUAAUUGGAAUGAGUACAAUUUAAAUCCCUUAACGAGGAACAAUUGGAGGGCAAGUCUGGUGCCAGCAGCCGCGGUAAUUCCAGCUCCAAUAGCGUAUAUUAAAGUUGUUGCAGUUAAAAAGCUCGUAGUUGGAUUUCUGGUAUGAUGCAUUUGUCCCGGCUAGAAAUAGAUCGUGUGACUUUGUGCGUCUACCAUCCUUCGCUACAGAUGUGCUGGCGUGUAAAAGCGUUAGCAGCUGUUGUGAUCUUUUACUUUGAAAAAAUUAGAGUGUUUAAAGCAGGCUUGUGCCUUGAAUACAUUAGCAUGGAAUAAUAAUAUAGGACUGGGUUCCUAUUUUGUUGGUUUUCUGGAAUCGAGUAAUGAUUGAUAGGGAUUUGGGGGUGCUAGUAUUCAGCGGCCAGAGGUGAAAUUCUUUGAUUCGCUGAAGACUAACUUAUGCGAAAGCAUUCACCAAGGAUGUCCUUUUUAAUCAAGAACGAAAGUUGGGGGAUCGAAGACGAUCAGAUACCGUCGUAGUCUCAACCAUAAACUAUACCGACUAGGGAUUAGUGGAAGUUGCUUUUCGACUCCAUUAGCACCUUAUGAGAAAUCAUAAGUCCUUGGGUUCUGGGGGGAGUAUGGUCGCAAGGCUGAAACUUAAAGGAAUUGACGGAAGGGCACCACCAGGAGUGGAGCCUGCGGCUUAAUUUGACACAACACGGGGAAACUUACCAGGUCCAGACACAGGGAGGAUUGACAGAUUGAAGUUCUUUCUUGAUUCUGUGGGUGGUGGUGCAUGGCCGUUCUUAGUUGGUGGAGUGAUUUGUCUGGUUUAUUCCGUUAACGAACGAGACCUCGACCUGCUAAAUAGUAUGGAGUACUCCGGUACUUACAUGCUUCUUAGAGGGACUGACGGUGGUGAGCCGUAGGAAGUUCGAGGCAAUAACAGGUCUGUGAUGCCCUUAGAUGUUCUGGGCCGCACGCGCGCUACACUGAUACGUUCAUCGAGCAUACAACCUGGGUUGAGAGACUUGGGUAAUCUUUUCAAAGCGUAUCGUGCUGGGGAUAGAUCAUUGUAAUUAUUGAUCUUCAACGAGGAAUUCCUAGUAAGCGGGAGUCAUCAGCUCGCACUGAUUACGUCCCUGCCCUUUGUACACACCGCCCGUCGCUGCUACCGAUUGAAUGCAUUAGUGAGCUCCACGGACCGCUGUAUUUG